GACGAACGCUGGCGGCGUGCUUAACACAUGCAAGUCGAACGGAAAGGCCCUGCUUUUGUGGGGUGCUCGAGUGGCGAACGGGUGAGUAACACGUGAGUAACCUGCCCUUGACUUUGGGAUAACUUCAGGAAACUGGGGCUAAUACCGGAUAGGAGCUCCUGCUGCAUGGUGGGGGUUGGAAAGUUUCGGCGGUUGGGGAUGGACUGGCGGCUUAUCAGCUUGUUGGUGGGGUAGUGGCUUACCAAGGCUUUGACGGGUAGCCGGCCUGGGAGGGUGACCGGCCACAUUGGGCCUGAGAUACGGCCCAGACGCCUACGGGAGGCAGCAGUGGGGAAUAUUGCACAAUGGGCGGAAGCCUGAUGCAGCAACGCCGCGUGCGGGAUGACGGCUUUCGGGUUGUAAACCGCUUUCGCCUGUGACGAAGCGUGAGUGACGGUAAUGGGUAAAGAAGCACCGGCUAACUACGUG
rnacentral:rRNA from 1 species